rnacentral:rRNA from 1 species
AUGGAUCUCGUGCGCCAAGUUGAGGGCAAGUAUCCUGCAUUCCUUUUCAAGCAACAGCUUACAGCCUUUGUGGAAGGCUUAUAUGGAAUGAUCCGUGACAAUGUGAAGAGAGAAGUGUCUUCAGUACUCUCGCAUGUUAUUCAGGCGCCAAGAACUGCGAAGGCUGGUUUGCUAACAGAUCAACAUAGCUAUUGGAAAGUGAUAGUCGGCCAUUUCAAUGAUCUCCUGAAAAUCUUGCAAGAAAAUUGUGUCCCAACCAUUUUUUGUCGGAAGAUCUUUACACAGCUUUAUGCAUACAUCAACGCUCAACUCUUCAAUAGUCUUCUUGUACGGCGAGAGUGUUGUUCUUUCAGCAAUGGAGAAUAUGUGAAGCAAGGGCUUGAAGAACUGGAGACAUGGUGCACACAAGCCAAGCCAGAGUACGCAGGAUCUGCAUGGGAUGAACUUAAGCACAUAACCCAGGCUGUUGGCUUCCUGGUAUCUAACUACAAACUUGAGCAUGUAUUUUGUAUUUCGGCAUGGAUUCUUAACAACAUUUGUUAG